CCCCCCCGACCAGACCCACCAUGUCGUGGUGGGGGGGCUCACGGGUCUACGGCCCGUGCCAAGCGGUCU
rnacentral:ribozyme from 1 species